AUGUGGUUCUUUGCAGGGCUUGCCAGGCUUUCCUGGUGUGCUGGGACGCCCGGUAGGUGUCUGUAUGUCCCCCAUGUCCCUGUGCCCCACCACCUCAGCACACAGCUGGGGGCUCCUGGCUGUGAAUGCUUGGUGAAACCACGGGGGUCACCCUGCUGCCAGGCCGGGUCCUUGGCCCCCUGCAUCUUAGCAGGACCUGUCCUGGCUUGUCUUACUUGGUGCUUACAAGAGCCGCUGGCACUGUCUGGGUCUGCUCUCCCUGGGGACACCCCCUGUUCCCACUGGGGAAAACCCACUUCUGCAGUGAUCCCGUUUCUUCCUCCCUUCAGGGCAAUCAGGGAGACCCAGGACCCCCAGGACCUCCGGGCAGCACUGGUGCACCAGGGACCCAGGGCCCAGCUGGUGCCAAGGGUGAUCCAGGAGAACCUGGCUCCAGCAUCCGUGGCUUGCCUGGACCCCAGGGCAACAUGGGCCUGCCAGGACCACUUGGCCCCCCUGGCCCAGGGGUAGGUAUUUGAACACCCCAGACCCGUCCCUUGGCUGUUCCUGGUGCCUGGCAUGCUGCUUGAUUUCUGUUCAUGUCUCCAUUGCAGGGCCCACCCGGUGUCCCUGGGCUGCCGGGACAAGUGGUGAGUGUGUUGCCCCCCACAUCUGCCUGCCAUCCUCUGGCUGUGUGGGUGCUUGGGGCUGCCUGGGGGGGCUGUAGGACCCCCACACCCCACCCCAACUCUCGCUGCCUGCAGGGGGAGAGCGGGAAGCCAGGCGUGCCGGGCAGGGAUGGAGUGCCAGGGAAGGAUGGUGAGGCAGGAGUGCCUGGGAAGAUGGUAUGUUGAUGCUUACCCUGCCCCAUCCCAGGGACACCCCCACUCAGCUCAGCCUGGAUUGUCUGCAGCUGAGGCUGAGGGCUGUGCUGCUUCUGCCAGGGCUUACCGGGACCUGUGGGGCCUGCUGGUCCCAAGGGAGAGCCAGGGGAUGCUGGAGCCCCAGGGCAGGUGAGUGCAGAGCUGCCUUGUCCAGUGUUCCUGGCCAGGAGGAUGGGGAGCAUCCCCGUGCAGCCCUGGUCACCUGCCCACUGUGUCCUCUGCCCCAGGCCAUCGCUGGGCCCCCUGGAGCCAAGGGAGAGAAGGUAAGGAGCUAGGGUGUGAGGGCUGGGUGUCUGCUGGGCACUGGCAUCCACAGUGGACACAUCUGAGCACCCAUGUGUCCCCUGCAGGGCGAGCCGGCGCUGCUGGAGGGUGUGCUGCUGGGAGAGCCCGUGAGUCACCCCCAUAAACCCA
rnacentral:lncRNA from 1 species